GAAUAACUUUUUUAAAAUUUAGUGCGCAUAAAGAAACUAAAGAUUAAUUUUUAAACUUUCUUUUCAUCCUUUUGCAGAUCGUUGUACACGUAAAAAUUUCAUGCUUGCAAAAUUAUAAUUUACAGUAACACGAAACGUCGAUGGAAAUCUACACUCGGGCUUUCACUGUUCUCAAAAGCUGGCUCGAAGGAAGAGUGAAUCUGUGAAUCUGUUUCGGAUCCUUUGUUCGCCUGAAAGCAGCUUCCUUUUUGGAUUUGCAGGCGGUGAUAAGGUCCAGAUGCCGGAAUACUGUUCCAUACUUGAAGCCGUACUUAAAAGCCCCGUGCAUUCUCACGAGCUGACAAUCUCGUGGGGUAGAUCGGAGCUCGUAUCCACGUGCUCUUUGGGGAGGGGGGAAGGUAGACAGCGAUUUGUCAUAGUCCAACGAGAUAACAGAACGAUGACGCUCACCCGAAAAUAUCUCUUCUUCCUCCUUUCCUUUAUCUCUCUCGAUCCGAUACUCUUACUGGACAUUUUACCUUAUCGCCCCUUGCUAAUCGCGAUUCGUAUCUGUGAUUUUGUUUCGUGAGAAACAAAUCGCUUCUUUCACGUUAAAUAAGAUUAACGCACUCGCCGCUUAAAACUUGUUUGUUCGUAAAUCGAAUCGAUACAUUAAUUACACGUACCAAGAAAUUAUUUUCGACUCGAUACGAAAUUUGCUCGAGCUAGUGGAGUAUAAAUAGAUUUAUACGUGAAAAGUGACAUCGAGUCGAUCGAGACAAAUUGUUCUAAACAAAUGGAAACAGGGUGAAAAAAUUCUAAGCGCCAAGAGCAUUCGCACACAGAUGUGGCCGCGCGUGAAACGACCCUCGGGAGGAAGAAAAAAAAGAGAAAAGGGGAGGGGAGCACGGUUCGUAAUGGAAACGAACUCGUGCUCGUGCAAUUGGAUCACAGAUGCCUGUUACUCGGAUGGCCUCAUAUAUUUAUAAAUAUGCGCGUGUGUGUCAGAAGCCAGGAAGAGGGUGGCAGCGCGACGACACAAAGGGCUUAAUUGUAUUGGCCGGUGACUCGCGUGGUUUACACGGUCGAUGGCCUGGAAAUGGUUAUUUCUAUCGUUGGAAUACGCACGUACAAGCCCGUACACAUUUCCCAGUGGCCACCAGGGAAUCGGAAAGUUGGGGAGGAACGUGCGUAUACGUCUCAUUGACUUAUUACUUUGUACGAAACUUGUACUUGUUUAAAGGGGGAAAAUAUCGAGUUGUUUACGAGCGCUGGAUGCAUCGGGGAUGCUCGAUCGUUUCGAGCGAAUUUUGAAAAACGAAAAGGUUUUACUUGGUUUUACUUAGCUGCGUUUUUCAACAGAGGGAAAGUCGACGCGCUGUCGCUGGAAAAAAAGAGAGGAGGAAAAGCCGUCUGUAGCCCUCACCCUUUCGUCCAACCCCCGAUAACGCGGCGAGACACGUCUCCUCUCGUCAAAGCAAGGGAAAUGCGUUUAUUCCGAUAUUUUUCGUGUCAAAGACUCGCAGACGUCUACUUCGAAUAACUUUGACAUCGAGAUAUACGAGUAUUAUCGAAAUAUAAAAUUUAAUAUAUGGAAUUAAUAUUGAAUUAAAGGAGAAGAGGGCUUGUUCUGCAGUUACGAAAAUGACGCAACGGGAAGAAAUCGGUGGAACAAUAUGCGUGCACGCGUAACUUGGUUACUGUUAUUAGAUUUACCGGAAGUGAAACCAUCAAAACGAAAGAUUUACGCGCCAUCGACGCGUAAUUGCCCGGCCGUGUCGUUGCUUGACUCAUGGAACAGGAUAAUUUCCUUGGUAAAUUAUAUUUCAUACUUUCUUUCUCCUUUAUGUAAAAGUAUUUUUAAUUUUCGAGGCGCAUCCUUCGAGAAGUAUCAACACGUGAAAAGAUUAUUACGAAGACCGAUCGAUGCGGCGAGUGCAUGGUUCGAGGUCGACGCGAACAAUAAAAGAAGCUCCGUCUGGCGCAGUAACGUAACUCCUUCCACGUGUCCGUAAACCGAUACACGAUCGAGAGCGAGUAUCCCAGACUCGGAGAUUACACGUGUUUUUCCUUUCCUUUUUUACGUCGAAUUUAUCACGCUCCAUGCACCGUUGGAACAUUGUUGCAGAUUUCUAGCGGUCGUUAUCGAGGAGCGCCGCUCGAAUUAUAAGGAAUUUGUCCUUCGAGUCCUCUUCCAAGAAGAGGAACGUCAUCGGUUACGAAGGCACGAUCACGUUAACGACUCCGCCGAUGCAUUCCACGACCUGUCAUACGCGCUCUCUCCUCCUCGCGUUCUGUGCCACGAGGUUAAUUAAGACGAUGGGAAGCCGAUUCCUCGUAACAUAACCCUCUACAUGCGUAUUCUCGGCCGAGCCCCUUGUCGAGAAUCGGCUUUUCUUCCCCGAGCAGCGCGUCAGAAUCUUUUUAAGAGGGUCUGUAACGUGUUCCCGAUAACCGGCGCAAUCUAUUUCCGGCCGCACGAGCCACAGGCGCCAGACAUUAGGCAUUCCACGUUCGUCUAAUGCCUGCUGGUAUAUAGCGAUCGGUUACUGACUUAGAACCGAGGACACGCGCAGCAGCAUGCGCGUAUAUACACGUAAUGCAACUCCCUGUCACUCGGCUCGUUUUCCUAUUAAUUCCGCGCGGCUCGCAAAGGAAGCGCACUGGAGUCGGAUAUGUGGCGCCACGCAUCGUCGGGAAUAUCUCGCGCCUGAAUCAUCAUCCUCCGUCCGCCGUUCGAGACCGCUUCGUUCGCUUUCUUCCAUUAUUUCACCAUUCAUUUUCCUCCGAAUCGGAUUUUCCGACGGAUCGAAAAGGAAGGGAUGGAAAUCGGCGGCGCAGCCUAAAUAGGAAGCGCGUUCCACGCGAUGACGGCGACGAUGGUGGCCGGUUGUCCAUGGUCGCGCCGAUUUCAGCAGCUGGCAGAAUUUGAGCGGGCAUACUCAUCGUCCCACCUAAAAUUACGCAACCGUAUUUAGCGGGGUGAUUCAACCAGAAGUAGGGCCUGAGCCAGAGCAAAGGCGAGCUCCCGCUGGGGAGCCACUACCUACUACCUAUACGUGGGCCGGCUCGAGCGUCGCACGGGAUGCACCGUGGUACACUAACGCGAUGGAAGCCUCGAGAAUACGUACACAGCCUCGUGGCAAGCGUGCACGCACUCUCUCGCGGUCCCGUGUAGUGAUUCAUGCCGUGGAACGCGAGAAACACGACUUAACCGCGCUGUCCGUUAAAGAACCGUUCUAUUUCUAUUUCGGGCGUACCGCGAUGUCCAUUCGGUCUGUUUGUGACCGCUAAUAGAAGGAGAGUCGCGCGGCCCAGGCCCGUAUUCUUCCACCGUGAUGUUGUUCUCAAACUCUCUUCCAAUUUUCCCCUGACUCGUCUUUCAAGCGCGACCACCAACCGAUUCGUUUUACGACGCUAUUAUUUUUAUUUUUGCAAAUUAUAUCUCCACGAGGAUGACGCGAUUCGUUUUUUUUCCUUUUCUUUUUUUACGCCUCGUACACGUGUGUGUAUAUAUAUAUGUACACGUAUAUGCGCAGAUCUUGAGAUACGUCAAUCUCUCGUUGCGUAUCUCGUUUCCACCGACGCUUUCACUGUACGCAAGUGAAAAUAGAAAAUCGUAGGUUUGAGGACGCGAAUUUAGAUUCCAAAGUUAUUGGUCAGCCAGAGGGACGGUUGGAAUAAUCCCUCUCGCUUAUUUUUACAUUCCUUCGAAAACGAGAUUCAAGGUUUUUCCUCGACGCGAGUUUUUUACGGACGAGGUUGAUAUUAAAAAGAAGAAGAAAAAAGUGUGUUUGUUCACGGAUUAACGGCUGCAUUCUUGCGCGGUACGUAUCGCGUGUUGCCGAACGGAAAAACGCUACAAGAACACGAUCAUAACAUCUGAUUAAAUUCUAAUGACGGGAUAUCUGUUAACUUUCAUAAGGAAAUCUCGUGUAUGCACGUGGAAAGUGGAAUUAUAUUCGUCACGGUAACACGGCGAUAUUGCUUCCGACAACUCCUAUUGACCACACGAAUCGUGGUUUUCCGUAAUAAAAAAUCGUGAUCCCCGAUGCAAGAAGGAGAAGCCGGCGACCCGAAACGCCACCCGAAUCGUUGAACAUUCGGCACCAGUGCUGGUUUAUUUUAGCCAACUAUUUGGCAGGCCACGUACUUGCCAAGUAUUUUCCAAGUUCUAUUAACCUCGCGUUUCGCGUCGAGGUAGCCUCUAUUACAUAAAUGUCACCCUCUUCCUACACGACCGGUUCGUAGCAUCGAUCCUUUUCAGGCAGUGGAGACAAGCCACUUCGAUCGAGGCACAAUUUUAUGAAUGGCGGUGGUGGAGUAGGAAUAAAAAAUUCUCAGAAGCUGAAACACCGAAACGAUAAAACGACGGCCAACUUCCGGUUUCCUGGGUGGUUUUCUCUAUGCCAUAUUGGUAACACCGAUCACGCGCGCCGUAGUUUCCGGUGAUUGCCAACAACUUUAAAGCCUACGCAGCUUUUAGGACGUCCAAGAUACGUAUAAAUCAAACGCGAGAUCCCGAUUGAAUCCCACCCGGUGGUGGCUCGUACGUAGACCUUGCACCAGCACCCGAAGAAAGAGAUGAAAAAUGAAAUAUAUAAAGGUUAAAAAUUAAAAAAUAAUAAAAUAAAAAAAAAUACGGAUUUUUAUGCAAAUACGAUUAUAUAUAUGUAUACGAAUAUAUCCCCGAUAUGAAGGAAGAAAUGAAAAAUGAAAUAUAAGAAAAUUAAAAAAUAAUAAAAUAAAGAAAAAUACGGAUUUUUAUGCAAAUACGAUUCAUAUUAUAUUAUUGCGAUCAUAUAUGUAGGAAAUAUUAUACGAAUAUAAAAUAUCAAUAUGAAUCGUGACAUAAGAAAUAAUAAUAUCGGUUGUCAUUCACAAUCAAAAUAUCGAUUUAACGCAGUCGUUUCCCGAACGCGGAACGAAACGGACGUAUUGCUCGCUGUUCCUCCUAAGAAUAUUAUAUUAUUUAUUAAAUCAAUUAGUUUUAUAGAUAUAAAAUAAUUAUAAAUUAAUUAAUUAUUGUGUAAAUAAAAACAAGUUAUCAAAAAACGAGUGCCACCCGAAUACAAUAAUGUUUUAUAUAUUUUUUCAUUAAACAAUAUACAUAAAUAUAUUAUAUAUUUUUUAUUUGAUAUUAAUUUCAUUUGUAUAAUAAUUAUAAAUAUUAUAAAUAAAUGUAAUUAUAUUCCGAAUAAAAGUUUUGAUUGCAAAAAAAAUUUUGAAUAUUAAGUUGUAUAAGAAUAUUUAACACGAUAUUAAAUCAACAUAUCACGUAAAGUUUUGUAGAACAUUUUUUUUAGAUAAGUAAUAACAAAUCAAAAAAUCAUAUACAUUAUCAUAAAAUAUAUAAAAGUUAAGAAUUAAAAAAUAAUAAAAUAAAAAAAGUACAGAUUUUUAUGCAAAUACGAUUUAUAUUAUAUUGUUACGAUUAUAUAUAUAUGUACGAAAUAUUAUACGAAUAUGAAGAAAGAAAUGGAAGAUGAAAUAUAUAAAAAUUAAAAAAUAAUAAAAUAAAACUACGGAUUUUUAUGCAAAUACGAUUUAUAUUAUGUUAUUACGAUUAUAUAUGUACGAAAUAUUAUACGAAUAUAUCCACAAUAUGAAGAAAGAAAUGAAAAAUGAAAUAUUUAACGUUUAAGAAUUAAAAAUAAUAAAAAAAAAAAAGACAACGAAUUUUUAUACAAAUACGAUUCAUAUUAUAUUGUUACGAUUAUAUAUGUACGAAAUAUUAUACGAAUAUGAAGAAAGAAAUGGAAGUUGAGAUAUAUAAAAAUUAAAAAAUAAUAAAAUAAAACUACGGAUUUUUAUGCAAAUACGAUUCAUAUUAUAUUGUUAUGAUUAUAUAUAUACGAUAUAUUAUACGAAUAUGAAGAAAGAAAUGAAAAAUGAAAUAUAAAAAAAUUAAAAAAUAAUAUAAUAAAAAAUAAUACAGAUUUUUAUGCAAAUGCGAUUCACAUUAUAUUGUUACAAUUAUAUAUAUAUAUAACAUAUUAUAUGAAUAUAUAUAAUAUAAAAUAUCAAUAUGAAUCGUGACAUAAGAAAUAAUAAUAUCGGUUGUCAUUCAUAAUCAAAAUAUCGAUUUAACGCAGUCGUCUUCCGAACGCGGAAUGAAACAGACGUAUUGCUCGCUGUUCCUCCUAAGAAUAUUAUAUUAUUUAACGAAUAAAGAAUAUUAUAUUAUUUACAUUACGUAAUUUUAUAAAACAUUUUUUUUAGAUAAACAAUAACAAAUCAAAAAAUCAUAUAUAUUAUCAUAAAAUAUAUAAAAGUUAAGAAUUGAAAAAUAAUAAAAUAAAAGAAGUGGAAAUUUUUGUAUAAUAACGAUUCAUAUUAUAUUGUUACAAUUAUAUAUGUACGAAAUAUUAUAUACAAAUAUGAAAAAAGAAAUGAAAAAUGAAAUAUAUAAAAAUAUAUAAAAAAACUACGGAUUUUUAUGCAAACACGAUUCAUAUUAUAUUGUUACGAUUAUAUAUGUACGAAAUAUUAUACGAAUAUGAAGAAAGAAAUGGAAGUUGAGAUAUAUAAAAAUUAAAAAAUAAUAAAAUAAAAAAAACUACGGAUUUUUAUGCAAGUACGAUUCAUAUUAUAUUGUUACAAUUAUAUAUAUUGUUACGAAAUAUUAUACGAAUAUAUCCACAAUAUGAAAAAAGAAAUGAAAAAUGAAAUAUAUAACGUUUAAAAAUUAAAAAAUAAUAAAGUAAAAAAAAUACGGAUUUUUAUGCAAAUACAAUUCAUAUUAUAUUGUUACGUAUUAUAUUGAUUAUAUAUAUACGAAAUAUUAUACGAAUAUAUCCACAAAAAGAAGAAAGAAAUGAAAUAUAUAAUGUUUAAAAAAUAAAAAAUAAUAAAGUAAAAAAAAUACGGAUUUUUAUGCAAAUACAAUUCAUAUUAUAUUGUUACGUAUUAUAUUGAUUAUAUUGAUUACGUAUUAUAUUGAUUAUACGAAAUAUUAUACGAAUAUAUCCACAAUAAGAAGAAAGAAAUGAAGUAUAUAAUGUUUAAAAAAUAAAAAAUAAUAAAAUAAAAAAAAAUACGGAUUUUUAUGCAAAUACGAUUCAUAUUAUAUUAUUGCGAUUAUAUAUGUACGAAAUAUUAUACGAAUAUGAAGAAAGAAAUGGAAGUUGAGAUAUAUAAAAAUUAAAAAAUAAUAAAAUAAAAAAAACUACGGAUUUUUAUGCAAGUACGAUUCAUAUUAUAUUGUUACGAUUAUAUAUAUUGUUACGAAAUAUUAUACGAAUAUAUCCACAAUAUGAAAAAAGAAAUGAAAAAUGAAAUAUAUAACGUUUAAAAAAUAAAAAAUAAUAAAAUAAAAAAAAAUACGGAUUUUUAUGCAAAUACGAUUCAUAUUAUAUUAUUGCGAUUAUAUAUGUACGAAAUAUUAUACGAAUAUAUCUACAAUAUGAAAUAUUAAUAUGAAUCGUGACAUAAGAAAUAAUAAUAUUGGUUGUCAUUCAUAAUCAAAAUAUCGAUUUAACGAGUCGUUUUCCGAACACGGAACGAAACGGACGUGUUGCUCGCUGUUUCUCGUAAGAAUAUUAUAUUAUUUAAUAAAUUAAUUAAUCUUAUGUAAAAUAAUUAUAAAUUAAUUAACUAUUAUGUAAAUAAAAGCACGUUAUCAAAGAACGCGUGCCAGCCGAAUAUGUACAGUAAUACAGUAAUAUGUUUUAUAUAUUUUUCCAUAAACAAUAUACAUAAAUGUAGUUAUAUUCCGAAUAAAAUUUUUGAUCGCGAAAAAAUUUUGAAUAUUAAAUUGUAUAAGAAUAUUUAAUAUAAUAUUGAAUCAAUAUAUCACGUAACGUUUUAUAGAACAUUUUUUUUAGAUAAAUAAUAACAAUUUAUCAAAAAAUACAAAAAAACUUUUAUAAUAUUAUAAUUAUAUAUAGGUAUCGUAAUAAAAUUAUUUGCAAAUUUUAUAUAGUUUGACAUAGUUUUAUAUUUUGAAUAUCAUAAUAUAUUUUUUUCAUAUUAAUUAAGUAUCCGAUUAUGUUUUAACUGCAUAAAAAUCCGCAGUCUACUAAUAAAUAUAUAUGUAAAAUACAACGUAAUAUGUUUAAAAUUAUAGAUCCAUGAAUUAUAUUUGGAUAUUAUGUCAAAAUAUUUAAACACUUUAGGUUAGAAACACGAUAUACACUACUAUUUAAUAUAAUAUCGUUGUUAUUCACUAGAUUCGUCAAUAUUCGUUUGCAUUCAUCAUUAUAUUCGCGUGAAAUAAGUAAAGUCGCUGAUACUGUUUUCUAAGCAAUAAAAUUUAAUUUCAUCUAUCGUAUCUAUACACACACACGCACACACACGCACACAUACAUAUAUAUACGUUAUAAUAAAAUAUAAUACUUUAGCAGGACACUUUCAACGGUUACAAUUUGAUCCAACGAAUCGUGUCGAAACAAUAUUUCCGAAUUCCAACGAAUAUUUCCGAACUGUGACGAAACGACAUUUCCGAAUAUUACCGAGUAUUUCCGAAUCGCGACGAAACGACACUUCCGAAUAUUAACGAAUAUUUCCGAACGCCAACGAAUAUUUCGUUGAUCGAAUGUCAAUCGGGUAAAACUUCUCGACGAAUAAGGGUGUUACGUUCGCUUACGUAUCGUUCACAUUUUUCUCGAUAAAAAAACGAUAUUUUGCAUGCUCGCCGCAUGAUUCAUCGGCUGAUAAAUAUUUAUUUCAUGCGAAUCGCUUAACCGCAGUGAUUCAAGAGAGCCAAGCCUACAACGCGUUUCCACGCGUACCGUGUGCGGAGUAAUUACGAAGAUCGGUCACGGAUGCACCGUAACGAAUCCGUUAGAUUUUUUGAAAUGCGACUCGACGCGUUCCGACUAAAUUUCUUCGGGUUUCUCUGUUUUAAAUAAGAAAAAAUUGUAAAGGAAAGUUGAUCGGUUUCGGUCUGAAAAAGAUAACUCGAGUAAAAAAAAAAUCAGUGAUGGAAUUUCUAUGGCACGAGACGAUGCGAAGACUGUUGCGGUUGAACGUGUACCGACCAAUGCUUCGCGAACUCGUAUAAUCGAAGCAAUCCUUUAACGCACCUGGUGCAGGUGCAAUGCACGGCUGUGCAACUAUGCACCCGUGUGCCUGAUUGGCUUCCUUGAAAUUCGAACGAAAAUCGCGCGGGACGCGCAUCUGUCUCGUUCCAUUCGAAAAGAACAAGUUUUUUUUAUAUAAAUACCGCAUCUUUGGAAUACGAUGUUCAUUCUUAGUAAAUCUCUUUCAUUACGUCCGAUUAUAACAAUUAUAGAAAUAAGUAGAAAUGACAUUACUCUCGUCUAUGAGUAAUCUGACAACUGUUAAUUUUAAACAGAAUAACAUCAUAACCGAAGGAUAGUGGUUCGUAACGUAUACGAAUAGAGAUUAUUUUCAAAAUUAAAUCGUAUAUUGUUUCCUAUAAACAAACAUCGAAUUUAAAUAGAAAAGGAUCACAAAUUAAUUUGUAAUUCUCACAUCUCUCAUCUAGGGGGCAAAAUUUACUCUUUUACAGUCAUUAUUUUCCAAGGAUUCAUUUUGCUUGCACGCAAUUUACGCUUCAGUUCCUUCCUUUAUUGUGCGCAAAUUUAUACAUAUAAUUACUUGCAUAACGAUCAGAGUUAACGAUAAGGAGGGCCUUUGAUUACGCGUCUACCGACAAAUUUAAAUCGGCGCAAAAGCCUGAAGCAAAACGAUUGUUUUUUUUUUUUAUAGAAUAUAACCGGGACUGUUACGAUCAUUCCUAAAAGGAAAUCUCCGUCCCUUUCUUGCAGCGUGGCGAGUUUCCACCGAUUUGCCCCCGCUUAAUACGUUGGUUCCGUAUUUUCCAACCGAUUACCCGGAUAAUUACAGAGCGCUUCCACGCUUUUCUCAGCGAGUCGUAUAAUAUUCGAAACGGUUACCACUGUCGUUGUCGCGAUUCCACCGUCGUAGCAACUAUGAGAAAGAACUUGUGACCACAAUUCGCGAGAAUUAUAGUGAUUGCAAAGUUAAGAGACACCGCGAUUACCGCGUGCUUCGAGUUAUUGAGGAGAAUGGGAAAGGGGGAAUGUUCGCCCUUUUAAAAAUGCGAAUCUACGAAAUUAUUCCCAUAUUGGUUUUAAUCGAAAAAAUGCAAUAGUAUUUUGAGUAUUAAUGAUGCUUAUUAAUGGAACGAUUAUAAAGAAACAUUGUUUAAUUGGAAGAUAAGCCAGGAGGAUUAUAUUUUUUAUUUUGAUUUAUAUAUAUAUAUAUAUAUGCUCUUUUUUUCUCCUUUUUUUUUAUCAUUAUUUAUCGUUUAACGAUAUUUUCGAAUUGUUGUUAAAGAUUUAGAAAUUAAGUAUAAGUCGCAUAAAAAAAAUCUCUUAAUUAAAGAGAUUUUUCAAUUGAUAAAUCAAUCGAAUAGUUUAACAGUGUUUACUUAAUUGAUUUGUUAUUCGAUAUUUCUGUACGAUCUUACAGAUAUGAAAUUAUAAUUAGAUUGUAAUAUUGAAACUAUAAUUAAAUUAAUUGAGAACUAUCUUUGAUAUGUUUGAAGUUAAAAAAGAUUGGAAUUAAUAACAAGGAAAAUUGUUAAAUUUUAAUCCAAUCCUUUUAAUAUUCGUUCAAUAUCAAUAUCUAUAAUAUUUUUCUCAAUAAAUGAUAUUUCACGAUAAGAAAGCGGAAUUAAUUCGAAUAUACGAACGUUUUGAAUAAUCGAGGUAAACUACUAUAUUUCCUUUCCUUUCAAAAUUCUAAUACAGUGAUCCCGCGCAAAGUCGAACAAAUUUUCUCGAUAAGUUAUUUCAAUAAUUUAUUAUUCAUGGAAUAAAUCGUAUGCACGAAGAGCGACGAAUAAACGUUAUUCGAAGCAUUUUAAACGAUGGAGAUAGUUAAAGAUAAUUUUAUUCGAAAUUCAGCGGGUCAGUGGCCAACUCUGAUCUCGUGCUGGCCAACGAAAUGGUGGUGGCGAUCGCACGGUGCCCUCGCGCGAGAGAUAACUUCCCCCUUGGACGAACUAUUAAUAAGAGAGGCCGUUCAAUUGGGUUUUAACAGCCGAAGCAAUUUUGUACGAUCUAAUAGAGGAUCGUUAAAGGUCUGCGUAGACACCUACUUAACCGGCCGUUUACCGAUGCCGGUGCACGCGAAGGAAUUUAUUGUCCCUUGCUCGCAAUACCAACUUAUUAUACAGCGGUCCAAUUUGCGAUAAAAUAUUUACCACGCCGGCUGAUAAAUGCCGGCAACCGUGGUAACGUAAGCGAUGCGAUAAUGAUAUUUUAAAUGCGGAUAGUACGCGCUUAAACGAUUUUUUACACAAAUCUACUUCUUUCGAUACACGUAUAAAAUUCGCUAAAACGUUCGAGCAUCGAUAUAAGUAAAUAUUGAAGAGAGAAAAAAAGAAAGAAACUUUUGAAUAAAGGCAGUUUUUUCUAUAUGAAAUUAUAUCGUACAAAUGAUAACGAUGGAAUAUUUCUAAUAAAUUUUUGGAAUUUUGGUUUUAGGUUUUACACAAGUACGUUCCCCCCGCGACGAUUCGAGGAUAAUGGUUAUUGCGCAACGGUCAGGGAGAAAAAGAGGAGGAUAUUUUCACGACGGUGGAAAGGAGGCGAUCUCGAGGGAGGUUGAUGCGUCUGCCCCGCUGGGAUAAUUAAUAUAAGCCUCUUCCUCCCCGAGGUAUCGCUUAUUUAUCGCGAGGUUUGAAGCCAGAGCUAGCGUGUAAUACCAGGCAGUGAAAUAUAGUGGCCAUAAUGUCGAGUAUUUUAUACCCGCGACCGAGUCUGGCCAACUUGUAACCUUUGAACACGGUCCCAAGGCGAUCGCUUGCAAUGAUGCUUAUUAAAUCGAGGAUCCUAGCAAAGGAUAACCGUUCUCGUCGUGGCAAAAAUGGCACGCACGCGAGAUUAAAACGAAUUUCGUAUCCUAAUAUUAUCGACUCGAAAUUAAAGGGAUUUAAAGGAGAUUCGAGGAGAAAUAUUCGACUCAAAAUAUUUGAGAGAUAUCGAUCGAUCGUUGAAAUAAUUAGAGAGGAAAGCGAGGUAGGUGCCGCUCGCCUUCUUCCACCGAUGGAAAUUUCACUGGAGGACACUCGCGGGGAUACUCGAUAUACUCGUCGUGUCGAGGUGAUCCUUCCGUACACAGACAGCCGGGGAGAGAUCGUCGAAGAAACUCAACGUCAACGACCGUUUCUCCUCCUCGCCGAAGCCACGCACGACGAUCUUGAUCGGGCUCGAGAGACGUCGAGCUUAGAAGUGGCUUCUGAUCGGCUUCGAUCGCGUGUCGAUAAUGAAUACCGUUAUAUAUAUAUAUAUAAAUAUACUCGACGUUUUUCAACGUCCCACGGUCGUUCAACGAAAAAAAAAAGAAACAAUUUCCAUUCCUAUCGAAUCGUCCAUUGUACUAGAGAGAAUCUCGAAGAGAGGCGAAAUUCUUAUCGAAAUUCCACGAUACUUUACGAUCUCGAUUUUUUUUUCUUUUUUCUUUUCUUUCAUAUUUCAUCCUUUGGCGUUACGGAACGGUACGACGAGCAAUACGGAGUUUUAUCGCGUAACGUUCGCCACGGAUAAAACCGUUGCUCGGUUUGCUCGGAUCUCCUCACCUUCCGGUUGGUCGUGAUUCAACCACGGGGGAAAAGAUGGCGGUGGAACGGUGGAGGGGGGGGAGGGAGAAGGGUACAUACACAGGCGAUCGACCUACGCAAUUUCAUCCUCGGAGGAGGAGUGCAUCCUUUGUCGUAAAAGAGACGAGAUAGUGGGCAGGCCGAGAUAACGGCCGCGAUAACUAGAUAAGAGGCCGGCCAAGUAUGUAAAUGUUGGCCCCAAUAACGGUACGGAUUUCCCACACGAUUCUGGCAUUCCAUUGCUCGGGCAACGCUUCCUGCUUCUCGCCGCCUGUGAAUCGUAACCGCGGCUGCAUAUGGAAAUCGAUGAGGAUCGUGCGUACUCGGGAUUCACAGCGAGAGGGACGGUUGAAAUCGUGGGAUCCCACGUUUCUCCAGGCGUUAUUCCCUUUAUCCUUUUAAUUAAGUGGAAGUGAAUAGUAGAUGGCAGUUUGGAAUCGAUUCUCGAUUAUUUUUCUGUCCAGUGAUGGAUAGAAAGUUCGGGGAAAAUGUCGAUAUCCUAAAAGGAGUUCUACACUUGAAUUAUAUUCGUGACGGUGGUGGUAGCUGGUUGGCCGCGAUAACAUUAAAUAGUACACGUACGUAAAACACGAUAUAUCCGGAAGUGCCGGGUCUUCCUCCUUACCACCUGUAGCGACAGAAAUAUCUAUUCCCCUCGAUCGGUUAAAAUUAUAUCGUCGUGUGAUUUUCACUUUCUAUUUUGCCUCGCGUAUAUAUAUUAUUAUUAGCAACAACUUUUUCAAUAAAGUUGAUUUUAAGUUAAAAAAAAAAGAAAAAAAAUGUACAUAAAACGAAAACGAUAUUUGCAAGAAAUUCCGAUCUCGAGUCAAUAAAAAUUCAUUAUUAUCUUAUCGAAGAAUGCUCGAUUCGAGUGGUAUACCUGGCUUGUUGAUAAGUGCUCUUUCAAUCCUAUUCAUUCGUUUCUCAAAUGGAAAAUUAUACGCGUAACAAAUUAGCAACACGUUCUAAAUAUAUAUAUAUAUAUAUAUAUAUAUAUAUAUAAAUAUAUAUAAAUAUAUAUAGGCAAUAUAAUUUAUCUUCUCGCUCAUAAUCGUAUAUUUUUCUCAACGAUUAUCGUUGCACGAGUGUUUCUUCGUAGAUAAAUUAUCAAUUUAAAAAGCAAGAAAGAGAGAGAGAGGAUAAAAUGAUAAUUAAAGUUAUUAAGCAUGGAUUAUUAAGCAAGUUUUUUUUCUACGCGUCGCGGGGAAAAAGCUAAUGAGAUCGAUACGAAGUGAUAAUUCAGACGAGAGUCGAUGUUUAUUGAAACAGAUACACGCCUAGCGUCUGUCAUCGUAUAUGGAUCGUAUAUGGAUUUUCGAAUCGAAGAAACGUGCGUAUAUGUGAAAUAUUUCUUCGUUAGAAACAGCUACAAUAAUAUUUAAGAGUUAUGCGUUACAGCGGUAUAAUAUAAACGCAGAAGAAUGCAGAGGCGGCUCGUUACUCUCUCGGUAAUGGCAAUUUUAUUUUCGUUCGCGUUAAGUCGGGACACGUCAUUUGCUUUGACUGACACCUAAUCGCGGCCAAAAGUUCAUUACCAUAUUCAUAGAAUUUCAUUAUUAUUAUUCGUGUGCGUCGUUCUCUUCUGGUUUCUCGUUACCUUCUUUCGUUCAAUUCGUUUCCACGAAUAAUCGUAUUGUUGGAAACGCGCGAAAGUAUAUAAACACUCUUUUUUUUUUUAUCCUUCGAUACAAAUUUUGAAUAUGCAAUUUUGUUCUUUUAUUUAUUUAUUUAUUUAUUUAUUUAUUUAUUUAUUCAUUCGUUUAAUUUAUUCUCAAUCGAACUCUUGUCAUAAUAUAUUUGUAGCGCGACGAGUUUUUACGUACUCUUUGAAACAAUGACGAAACGAUUCUUUUUUCUUUUUUUUUCCUUCUUUUUUUUUUUUUUUUUACAGAAAUGUCACCUUGAACGAAAUGAAACCAUAAAACAGUAAAGUUUUAACGCGUUUUUUUAAAUACUACAACUUUGUAAUAAUGCGCAAUUUUAAAUUACAAGAUACACGGAAUUUAGUCGCUUCUUUAGUUAUAAAAAGAAAGAAAAAAAAAAAAUUCUUAGGAAGAAUCUUCAGAAUAUGGAAAUUUUAAAGAGAUUCGUUUCGUUCUUCGUUUCGAAGAGAUUUUCCAUUCAUAUUCGAAAUCACAAUUUCGUGUUCUUCGACGAAUAAUUCAAAUUUUCUAAAUAUAUAUCGCACUGAAAAUACCGUGCACUUUGCAUUAUUCCCCGAUCCGCGGGAAUAAUUAAUAGAAUGAUCGGUGAAGAGAGGGGAAAUAUUUGAAGCAAAGGUAGACGGUCGGCGAAUAUGCACAGGCAUCGUCGGUAUUUCGACGCGACUCUACGGUGUCCGGUCGUAAACGAAAGUGAAAAUAAAUUGGUCGGACGGUUCCACCGCAAAAUGCAAUUUACUCCAUUCAUGGAGCCGGGUCCCUCGCGCGCGUGUGUAUGUAUAUAUGCAUGCAUGAAUGUACGUGCGCGUGCGCGCAUCGAAACGGGAGAUCUCGGGGCCUCGACCACGGCAGACACCUAAAUUAUGUUUCACGGCCGAUUCUCAAUUCACUUUCUUUCUCGCCUCUUACUCGCGUCUCUUUCCUCGAAACGGUUCGAGGAAUGCACGCGCCUCCGCUGCACCGAUCCGGCAUCGAUAUCAUUUUUUUCUCCCCCCCUCUCUCCCCCCUUCCCUCGAUCCACCUUUGUCAUUUCUGUCAACUGACGUUCAACUGAGCAAAAACAAAAAAAAAGCAAAAGAAAAAAAAGUCUCUCUCUCUUUUAUCCCGGCGUGACGUGACGCGUUGCGUGUCGACUCGUCGUCGUCGUCGUCGUCUUCGUCGUUCUUACGCGUGAGCGGAGCCUCUGACUCUGAGUUUAAACUUUUUUACCCUUGGAUCGCGAAUAAAUUAGCCGCGUGGCAUCUAUGGUAUUAUUAUGUUAUUACCGCGGCUACUCGCCGCGAUGUUCCCUCUCUUCUCUGUCUUUCUCUCUCUCUCUUUCUUUCUUUUUCUCUUUCUCUCUGUCGUCUAUUAAUUUAUCGUAUUCUUUUACGGCGCGUAACGCUCAAGGGUCGGCCACUAUAAACGGAUGCUUAAUAACAUCCUCGGAUAUACCUAGCGGAUAAUGAUUACGAGUCAAACAUUUCUACGUUUACUUUGGGACCCCGGCCUCCCAUUACACCCAUGAAUAUUACUCUUCAUAAAGUCGGGUGUCACGCGCCGUACGAACCGUAUUUACGAUCCUCCCCUCUUCCUCCGCCCGCUUGCGCACACCCAACGACGAGCGAUACCUCGGUUGAGGUUACUUAUUAAGUGCUCCUCUAUUAACUUCCUUCUCCUUAAUGUUGGCACCACUGACUCGAGUCAGUGGCAACGGUCGCUCGAGUUCCUCGCUUUCGGACACGAAAAACGGGUCGGAUUUCGACAUCUUUGAACAACAGAUUGUGUUCGGAACAAAAUUUCUCGCGUGUGGACGAGGCAUAAGCUUCUCGAAAGUGAGAAUCGUUCGGGAAUCGCCGUCUUCCUCGUUUCCAUUUUCCUCUUCCUUCGACGACGAGUCUUCCCCCCUCCCUCUCGAUCGCGGUUGAAUAUUAAAAGUAUGGAGCGGAUCGAGAGGCACGUGUGUCGCGUGGGAGAUACACGUGGUAUGAAAAGUCCACCCACCAGGAGGAGUUGAAACCGCAUUCCAGGUGACGUCUGGCGCCAAAAGUGGUUCCCAACUGCGCUCCACGAGGAACGUUGUUGAACGCGUUGCGAAUGAUUGGCAACGUGGACGAACUUUCUAACCGAGAAGGGAACCCUCGCCCGGCGAAGGUUAACGAGUAUAACAGUAUAUCGCAUAAGAUCCACGAGGAGGAAGGAACAAAGAUCGUGGUUCGUUUCGUAAGAUUGUAAAAUUCGAUUGGGAAUCGGAUCGAAAAAUUUGUUUUGUUUGUUUGUCGCGCGAUUGAAAAAUUAUUGAAAUCAGAAAUUACAAGUUUGACUAUUGACACAAGGGUUAAACGAUUAGAAUUUCCACGUAUCGAUUUGCACUAUCGUCUGUACAAACUAUGCAGACUAUUAUUUAUGUAAUAAUGCAUACUCGGUAUUUAACCUCGUUCUACGCAGAUGAACUGUGUUACGACAUAUGUUUUAUGUUUGACGAUCAAAGCGAUUCAAAGAAUAGCACCAAUAUGGCCACAUGGUGUAUGGUGUAUCUCGGUAUCGGCCAAUUAAUUCGCAUGAAUCGGAUCACGAAUAAAAGAUGUUGAUCGUUCCCGAUCCAAGUCUCGCAGUCUAGUUCGUUAAUUGAUCUUUAAACAACACGUAACGUUGCAACGUUCCAUCCAUCGAAAAAUAAUUGACACGUGACACGUCUUUCGAAUCUUCGAGAUAAAUUAUAGAAGCAACCAAUGAAACGAGAGACGAAUAUAUCGAAUUAAAAAUUGGCAUUAUCUAUACAUUUUUGAUUCAUUUUUAAAAAUUUCCUUCAUUAUCAACUUAUCAUUAUCAACGUAUAAAUAUUGUCGUCAUCGUGAUUCGUUAUUCCUAGCGUGAUAUCUAUUUACGUGCCUAUCUCCUCGCACAAACAGCGCCGGAUUAAAAUCCUUAAAAGCCCUAAUUUUCAAUCUACUGUGAAUUGGAAAAAUUAUAUACUGAGUAUACUACCUCUGUCCCUUUUUUAAGCAUCAGCGUAAAAUAAAAUUUUACGAUGCCUUGUUUCGUUUAUUAAUCCAGCACUGUUGACGAAUAAACGUACGCUUCACGUUUCGUGGAGACCUUGUUGCUUCCGAGUUUUACAUUAAUCAUGCGCGCAUGCGCGUCGGUGAAAGCGAAGGCGAGUGUAAUCGCGUUGUAUUAAGAGAAUAUUAUACACUCUAGGAGGAGUAAAAAAAUUAUUCCGCUAAUUCUGUGAUACAACACGUCCCAUUAUACGGUUUUUUCUUCUUUUUUUUUCUCUCUUUUUUUCUACACUCGUAAUCCAAUGCUUCAAACGAGUGACUUAUCGCAAACAAUUCAGGUCCACGGAACGAAAGCUCGUGUUACAGUAUAAACCGUUCGUUCCCGUUCCUUCAUUAGACAUGAUUUAUUUCAAGACUAGGGUCCUCUUCCUCUUCCUGGUAGAAACAACCUACUCGACCAGCCAGUUCUUUGUUCCUUACGUAUCUCGUGUUCUCGCUCCGUGCAACGAGAUAUUUUUCUAAAUUUGUUAACCCUAACUUUUGUUGUUCGAGGAUAAAAUUUUCCCGAGUAUUUUCUCAGUUCUCGUGUAUGCGAAAGAAAUGAAAAAUUCAAAUAUUCCGAGUUUAAAAACUGUUUAAAAAUUAUACUUGAGAAUCAUUAAUGCAAUAAUUAAAUCCUGCAGAUAACAGAAUUGCAUCGUUCUCGAGAAUUUUUUGAAUAACCUCUCAAAAUUCAUUCGAUCAAUUUCUUUCUCUCCCCAAAACACAUCAAAGAUAUUUUCUACUAUAGAUAUUUUCUACUAUUCCUAAAAUUCAUUCCACUCUCGUUUUCUUUUCCCGACCAUGACGAGGAGAUUACAGAAAGAAUAUUAAGAAGAAUAAGAUAGUAAUUCUCUGUGGUAAUAGCGGAACUACUUUAUACGAUUCAUUUUCGUCUUUCAACCACGACUGUGACAAAUGACCUGUCCCAUGGGAAUCUGCGAACCACCUUUGCAUACCGGAACGAGCAUUAUUCCCAAGGACAUCGCGCGCUGUUUUCGCCACGCUUCCUGGAUCCUGGAUUCAGAUUCGUUACGAACAUAUCGAUCGAUUCUAAUUAAGCAGCUCUCUUUCUGUCGCGAUCCACGAAAUAUUCGAGGAAACGUAAUUAAAGAGGGAUUAUUAAAUUGUAUCUCGUUGUUGCGAGAUCGUGGACGGAUGGAAUUUAGCGUUUUAAUAAUACGAUAUUUUGUAUUUGUUAAUAUUCACACCUCUCAACGGGGUAAUUACGGGGUAUCCGUUAUUAUUCGAGCAUCUCGUUCGUGGGAAUCGCAAUCUCGUGGAUAAUCAAUCUUCGAGCCGAAGAAUUAGAUGAUCUAAUGUUGUAUAUUGCGAAAAUUAAAAAUAGUGGAGGAAAAUGUAUGAUAACCUUAAUUGGAAAAAAGAAAUAAAGUAAACGAUACGCAAAUAAUUAAAUCUCGAUAAAUCUCCGUUGGAAUAAUAUCUGUAUGUGUAUUUUUACGACGUUUUUUAUAAAAAUAUUGACACGAGAUUAGUGGCAGAUGGAUUUCAAACGCGAGUAUUUAAUCUUUACGCAUCAUUUCUUUUUAUAUCUUUCGUAUAGAUGUAAAUAUGUGUUAGUAAAACAAGCAAGCGAUAAGUUUAUCGAAUAGUAUAGUAUAUCCAGUUGGAAAAGAGUUUUCUUCAAAAAAAUCAGCAACUCUUUUAGGAACAAGAAAUACGAAGAUAAAUAAAAUUCAAUUCCUUAAUUAAAUAUAUUUCGAUUGAAAUGAAAAUGAUGAUCAUAAUGGAAAUAAAUAUACACACAUACGAGGAGAAAUUCGGAUGUAAAGGGAGCAAAGGAUCAAGCGGCAUGGAUCUCGAAGAGACGGAAGCAGACGGAAGAGAGUAAUGGGGGACCUGGGUCUUUGUCACGUUGUCACGAAUUCGACUUUCGAACAGAUCCGCGAAAUGGCUAAAGGUGAUGCGAUCCGCGACCUCUGCAGGUCGAACGAUAUCACUUUCGCUUGCAAAGAUAGGCAAAUUCCGUAUCGGCGACCUAUGAACCCGCCUUUCCCUUCUGCCACGAUGUGACAACAACACCGUGAUGAUAAAUAUUCAAUUCGCAUUCGUGACAGGGAGGGGGAGCUCCUUUUGUCUCGCCGUACUCUUUCCUAAUUAAUUAAUUGUUCGGUCGGUUCACGGGGCCACUAGUAGGUCGGUGUGGCUUCCACUUCCUAUUUUCCAACCGCCAUUUCCCACGCGAGACUUUUUCUCUCGGCUGCAACGAUUUACUCUUUUCUUUCCUUUUCUUUUUGCCGACCAUUCACUCGACCCCACAAACCGGGAAUGGAAUAAACGGAGAGAGAGGGGAAAAAAGAUAUUCGAGAAAUAACUUAUAAUUAUAUAUUACGACGUUUAUCUAGAAUCCUCGAGGUUCAAACACGAAGUAUUAUCGCACGAUAAUACUUUGUUUCUAGACUGCUUGGCACUCGGCCAAAAAAUAUUUUUACGACCUCGCGACCCGAUUACGACUCAAUCAUUACACGACGCGUAAUUACGGGUAAACAUGUGAAAUAAUACAUCGUGCAAUAAUUGGAUGAAGUAAACAUCUGUCCGAUAACAAAAAUGUGUCGUUGAUGGUUAAAGUCCGAGCGAAUUUUAUAUUUCACAAUAGCGUUAAGCUCAAAGUACAGGUGUACGUGAUAAACGGGGAAUAAAACGGUUGAUAAAAACUGAUAUAAAUAUAAAAUACGUAUCAUCGAUUGCGAAUCGAUUUACGGUCACGCUUUAACGGGCUCGAAACGAGGCCCGAGAAUUUUUACCCCGAUACCGUCCUAAAUUAACACCUGAUAAAUGAUAAUAUGACCGGUGCAGGUGCGUGAAGAGAAGGAAUGAAAAUAGGUUUACACGCGAACCGAUUUCACACAUGUCGGGGCACGUGCAGCUGGGCGCAGACCGCGCGCAUUUCUCCCUGGCAUAACUCUCGAUCGCGUGGGCAAUGCCUUAUAGGUAUUGUGAUCACCGAUUGCAAAAGAUCGGCGACCUCUUUUCAGAUACAGACCGGCUCGGGAUCCUGUUCGAUGGUUAACGAUUUGCUAACCAACGAUAAAGAUCUAUCGUACAGUGCAGUCAACGAAUUGACACGACACAAGAGUGUUUUUUUUUUUUUUUUCCUUCACGAGGGGUUUUUCCUCUCCCAGAGCAAGUGUUCGGAACGGGAGAUAAGAUAUAUAUUUUUGUUUAUAAUUUAAUAACAAUUUCCAUAAAUUGUUUCUCGAAUUCGUGAAGCUGUUCUUUCUAUUCGCGCGAGAACGCGAGGAUGAAUACUUUCUCAUGGCGGCUCAAGGAAGAAAACUCGAAGGCGGUUGGAAAGGGAGAAAGGGACGGAGAAAGAGGAUGGUGGCUGCGAGCGAAGUAAAAGAAGAAAUGGGGGGAGAGGGGAGGCGAGAGAGAGCCGCGUGACAGGCUCCGAAGAAGAGUUAAAAAAGAAAUAGAGUGAUGAGCACGUGGAGGAGGGAAAAAGGGAAGGACAUUAGAGUCGACCUUGAAAAGAACCUUGCAAGGCCGUUACGCCCUGGACCGUCUCGACCCGCUGCUUUCAUAGGCCGGAUCUCGUUUGAGAUACGAUACGGAGAAAGUCGAUGAAAUCGGCAUUUUUUCAUUCGUCUAUUUUUAUCAACUCGAAGAUCAAUCUACGAGGAAAGACAAUUUAAUCGAAAUUAUUAAUACUCUACAGAGAGUAUAUGUGAAUUAAAAUCGAAACAUAUAGCGGAUCUAAUUUUUUCUCGAUUUAAUUGUUAUAUUAUUAUUAGUUUUCAUUAUAUUCGUUUUCGUUAUAUUCGAUUGUUCAUUUUUUUUUCUUUUAAUCAAAAACGUAUAUAUCACAAUUUAAGAUAUAACAACAUAGGUUACGAUUUAUCUUUAUUAAAAAUAGAAAAAAAGAUAGUGAUAAGGAUAAGCCUGAAUAAUUCACGUAAUCGAGACGAGAUAUCUUAUCGAUAGACUUCCUUAUCAGUUAUUAUCGUUAUAAAGGUCGAUUGACGUCCUAGAGAAAUUUUUUAACACGAGCACUUUUUUAAUGCGAAUUUAAUUCAAAACGUGACUAUAUACAUGUAAUCGUAUAACGUUAAUAAAUAAUUGCAUUUCAUCGAGACGUCUAUCAAACAUGAUUCAAUUUGAUAACGACAAAACGAAGAACGUCAAGGUUAGUUCGAUUUCAAAUCGAAACGAAUUCCGACGCAUCGGAGAGUCGGGACCGUUUACGAAACAGGAAUUUCAAGCUCGUUCAUUUUCUUGCUCGAGUUCAUGCACGAUAGUUGCAUCAAUGUCCCAUAAAUAUUCGUUAACCUCUAAUAAGCGUUCCUUUUCAUUCCGUCCUAACUAUACCAGCUAGAUAAUAGUCUGCCUCUGUAAUUACCAACUUACUCUAGAGCCCUCUAGGGGUUAACUAACGAAACUAACCCGGAAUACCGCGCAUGCCCCGUUUCGACAUCUUUUUCUCCACUCGUAUUUCCUCGUCUUUCCAUCGAAAUUUCGACCAAUCGAUCUGAAUAAAAAUCAGGCAGAAAAUUCUUCUCCAAUCGAAAAAUAAGGUAGCACCAGUAUGGAGAAACUGUGCUAUAUUAUAGGACGUUGAUCGGGCGUUACGCAAGAUUUCGUUUGCUGUCGAGUUAUUCGUCGAGUGGUGGCUGGUUUAUUUGUUGGACUGGUGGGUUGGUUGGCUGCACGGCAACACGGCAACUGCGAAGACGAUCGACCAGCCACGAACAAGAAGUAAAGGAGAACGUCCUUGCAAGGCCGGCCGCCGACGCCCGAGAGCCAAGCCUCUCUCUUUCGCUCUCCCUCUCCUUCUCUCACAGCUUCGUCAACCUCUCUUCCUCUUUCGCCUCACUGGCUCGUUCGCUUCGUUACACUUCUCGCUCGUUCGAUUCCUGUCUCGAUCCCACUUUCGAUCCACGUAUCCUCUACCGAUCCUUCGUCUGCACGUUCGCCGCGGCUAUGUAACAUCCAACCUACCAUCCUGUACCGCUUAUAUAGAAAACUGUCGUCUCACCUAUCGCGAGCGUGGUUACCAACGCGCGCAUCCUGCAUUCCGAUCUACUCUGGGGCCUGGAUAGAAAAGCGAGAUCGCGUGAGAAAACAGGGAAGGAUCGACUUAAUUCGUUUGACGAUGAUUAGAUACCGACUUCGUGGAAAGCCAAACGUUAGAGCCUACGAUUAUUUCUCACGCUCACGUGAAAAGAAAAAUAUUUUUUUCCGAUUUGGUCGAUGAUUAUUUUCGUAUUCAUCCGCUAGGGGUCAGGAAUAUCGAGAAGAUGUUUUUCCCAGAUGAAUCUUUAUUUUAAUUGAAUUUAUGACCAUAUAUCGAAUUUGAUCCCAUCAAGUGUAUCCACAGAGAGAGACUUUUACGACUCGUUUCUUUAUUCGAUCGAAUAAACGUGGCGAUGACAAUACGGCCAAACGACCAAGGACUGGGGAAUAAAAUUUCUCGUGUAUUAUCUGUGUUCCUGUCACUGCACCACGGUGCGCCGGUUAAAAAAUUAUCCCUGGCCGCCCUGUCUGCUUUGGUUCUACCUCGUCGACGAAUAAAUUCACCGAUAAUGGUGUUACUACAAGUUUUUUUUUCCCAAUGCCUUCGUUUCGAUAUAAGGAAUUUACUAUCGUUGCGAUAUUUUGUAACAGUACUUUGCGGCUUACGAUAUAUUUGCUAUAAGUCAGCAGGAAUGCUGUGAAAAGAGUGCUGAAAAUGUUCCUCGUACGAAUCUUCCACUUCUCGGAACGACGAUAAACGUUAAUUAACAAGACAUCGACGUGAAGAAAGCUGUUUGUUCCCUUGUUUAGCGCGUAUCAGUCACGUCGAGGCGUUAAACAAAAGUCGAUGAACUUUUGUCGUAAAUAUAACCGUUCCGAAAUUGUCUGCGUAAAAUAACGCGUUACAUGCUUGUCACGUAUAAACGUUGCGUUCCAUGGUGUCGAUCAGAUUUUCUCACGCAUGACGAAACUGUUUAUUCAUUAUCGUUACGGAUGAUUUUCCUCUUACACAGAGUAUCUAAACUGAAAUUACCAUCUUGAUUUUUGUUAUUAUUAUUAUUAUUAUUAUUCGCAGCGGGAAAAAUGUUUGAAUGGGAAUUGAAUUAUUUCUAAGCGUAUUCCAUUUAUUAAUUUUUAGGUUAUGAAUGGCGCGAAGCUCGGAUACGAGUUAAUAAAUAUAUCAAAAGAUAUUAAUCCGUUUAAUUAUUCAAUUUAGAAGGAUUUAUUUUAAUUCGAAUCAAAACUUUUCUAUUCAAAAAUAUCGUGUUACAUCAAGCAAAGUAUCAGGAAACGUAUAAUUUUGAAAAGUUGACUUUUUCACCAAUAAUAAUCCGUUUAAUAUUUACGAGAAAGCUAAUGAAAUAUGCAAAGGUGCGAAUAAUAACAUUGCGAUGAUAAAAGUCAAGACAAUUUUGAGAUCCUGAGAUAAUAGAACAAGGAACAACUUGCAAAACGGUCUCGACUUGAAUAAAAUAAUACCUUUGGACAAAAAUCUCGCCCCGUUACGAAUUUGUCUCGUAUGAAAAGUCGCGUAUCGACUUAUAUCUCGUAGGUGUGCGAGAGUAACGCAGUAAAUGAAUUUGCAGCACGGCUGCAAGUGGGCGCAAAUCUAUGAAUGCAAACGCCACGCAACGCGCUCGUUCACGCGGCCCACUUCGUGCUCCAUCGCCGGCAGAAAUGUGCAUGUGCACUUGCGGCUUGUUGCGCAGCUUGGCUGCUACUCUCGAAACUGUGGGCGUCGUGAUACCGAUCGAUCAGCUAUAUACCGUUGUCGCUCGCAUGAAUCGCGCUUUUAUAAAUAGGCACACCGGUGUUUAGCGCACCGGGGCUAGAUUAAUAUAUGUAUAUAUAUAUAUUUUAUUUUCUUUUUUUUCUCUUUUUAAUGCAUUGCGCGAACAGGGGAACGUGGCCAAAAGGUAAUUGCACAUCGAAUCGAGUUGCCCUUUCCCACUCGACUAUUAUUUAAUCAACGUUUUUCUUCAUUCAGACUUCAUUAAAUAUUGACACCGGUUAAACGAUGUCAUUUCUCGGUAAAUCAUUUUAUCGAUUAUUAAAGAAACUUGGAAAGAUAUAUUAUCUGUAUAAAUCCAUCUUGGAUACGCGCUAGACUAUCUCGAAUGACGGAUAUCUUUGGAGAGCGAUUUGUUAAUACUCGGGGUGGAGGAGGAGAGUGGAAAAAAGGAAAAAAUAUACGCGGAUAGGAAUCUUCGCGACCUGAUAAAUCUCGAAGCGGCUCGAGGUUUCGAUACGGUCUGUAAUUACGGCGCGUAACGAAAGUGUUACGUGUAGGUGCUCUUGGAAGCCUUGGGGCUGAGAAUCAGGUAUCUAAGGGCGUGCCCAGACCGAGACGACUUUUAUUGUCGGCAAUAUCAUUGACCGCAUCUAUACACAUUUUUCUAAUCCUGCAAAUGAAUGAUCGUUUGCCCAUUCGUUCCGUUGCCAUAAGUAGUCCACAAGACGUAUCGUGGGAAAUAAAUGGAGAUUAGGAAAAAAAGAAGAGAGGAAUCGAAAGAUGGUUGGUCCUCGCGAAUCUCGGAGGAGGAGAAGGAAGGGGAGACAUCUCCUUCUUUUUACUAUUUCCAUUUUGAUAGGGAGAGGGGGAUCAUCGCAAUGAAGAAUCGAAAGCGACAACAAAGAAAUGGAAAGUCAAGGCUAGCGUUUAAUUUAAUACGUGUAAUAAUACGGAUCGCAAAAGAUUUCUCCUCCUAAGAAUUUUAACUCGUAAACUCAAGGUCGAUCACGACUAUUUUUAAAGACGUGGUGUUACACGUUUACACCACGAUUAGUAAUAAAGUUGACAAUGUAAAAAUUUAAAAGCUUGCUUAAAGGCGUACGUGCACGAAUAAUCUUACUUGUCAUGCUUGAUGAGCGUUAGAUAAGAUAUUAAAUUCGAUAAAACGAACAUUUCCUUCUUAGUAAUCUAAACUCUUGAAUAAUCCUUUAGACUCUGAAAACAAGAUAUAUAUAUUUUUUAAACGAUUUAAACUAUAAUAUGUUAUAAACAAGAGGAUUGACAAGAAACGAUCGUGGAGCAAGCUUACCGAUGAUCUCUUUUGAUGAUCUUUUGGAUCGAUCCCACGUGACCGAUAGGAGAAGCUCGAAUCUGUGCAACGGAUGAAUAAACAGUGUGGCAAAAGGAAUCGUAAAAAAUAUUCGAAACGUGAUACAUACUAGAUAAUGUCUAACAACAAAUUCCGUCACACUCCUAACCAAAUUGAUUUAUAGUCUCGAGAACGGUGACGUGUUACCAUGGACAAUCAAUUGACUCGUGCUUUGUAAAGAAGUAAAGUAUGUCGAGAGUUAAAAGUUCGAAUCGAUUGCAAUCGAAUGGAAAUCGAUCAAUUCGAGAAGAAGAUCGAUCGAUUGAAAUUUUUUCUUUUCUUUCUUUCUUUUUUUUUUCGGAAAUGGAGGAGCGUAAAGUGGGCGUUUUAAAGAGCUGAAUAUAGUAUGAAUAUAGUAUGUAACUGUGCUCGACUCGUACUCAUCAUAACCCGGUGAUUUGUGGCUUGCCAGGGAAGAAAAGUCGGGAUCGACAACCACUGGAUCUUGAAACGAUGCAAACGUGUGGUCAGUUUAAUAAGAGACUGCAUAUCGCAUUACCUCUAGCCGUAUAUCGAGGUGUCCUGGAUACGCUUGAUUGUCAUAUUCUUUUCCAAUCGAGUUCAUGCAAAAUUCAAUGAGAAAUAUCCAAAACGGUAUAAAUAUGGAUUGCACUCAGGCGAUCGAAAUUGACCGAUUACGAAGAACCAAUAUGGUUCCUGCAGUUAGUUCGUACAGGAAGUAUUUAUUUAUACUAUUCUUUGUAAAAAUGAAUUUAAUUCCGUAUUUCCGUAUACAUUACAAAAAUGUAAUCUUUUUAAUUUAUUUUUAGAAACUUUGUGAAUAUCUUCAUAAUUUAUUUUUAUAUAUACGCGGCAAUUUUUCUUUUAUAAAAGGAAAAUCAUUUUAAGGAGAUGAGAUCAAAGUUUCAAUAAUUUUAUUCAUUUUUCAGCAUAGGUUUAUCGGAUAAAGCAAAAUUUUUAAUUAUAAAAUGUUUAAUUUUUAAUAUUCUAUCAAUUCGAUUUCUGGAAUACAACAAGAAUAUAGUUUAUCGUUAAAAAUGGCUCAAUUUCUCCACGAGAAGAAAUUUCCCUAGAAGAAUGUCACACUUAUCUUCAUUACUACUGCCACAUUAGACAAAGGUAUGUCACGUGACCAAGCUUCAGUCGAAGCCAGGCACUAUAUCAUGUCACGUGACGUGCUUUUGUACAGUACGUAACAGGUAAUGAGGAAAUUCGUCACAGAAAAAUCGAACCAUUUAUCAUUUUAAUGGUAAAAGAGAUAGCGUAUUGUCCCCUUUGUCUCGUUGUGAAAAGUAUCCUCAAAUGAAAUUGUUUUUAAAAUUGAAAAAAAAAGAGAGAGAUUUUUGUCACUGCUUCGAAAAGAUUUCUCGUGUAAAUAAAAAAAUUGUAAAUGCAUUUAAACUUUUCACGUAUUUAUGGUGAAUUUUCUCGUAAUGUUUAGAAUAUCUCUAUGAUUGAUUGUAUACAAUUAAUCGUAUAUGCAACACGAUAUUUUUAUAUUCGAGCAUGGAAAAUAAAAAGGAUAAGAAUAAUAUUUAUCGUAAAAUACAAGAAAAGGGGAGGGGAAGAGGGAAUAAAAGUACAGUUAUUCGGACAAAGGCUGCCCACAUUUACGGUCAGGAUACUAUAAAAGCGUUUACUUGGUGCACACCCAGUUCUUCCUGCAGUUUAUUAUUAUUGGAAACGGUUCAAGAAAUCUCGUUGCUAUGUAACGCGUUUACAGAAUGACGGUUCAUUUUUCUUUAUCUUCUUCCACUGGUGCGAUGUUUCUCGCAAAACCGUUAUUAACGUUCAAGCGACUGAGAUUUUGCCAUUUGUACGUCGGAAUAUGCAGGCUCUUAAUGCAGGGACUCCUUUGAAAGAUCGAUUCCAGAGGUCAAACAAACGUAAAAGGUGCAUAAAAAAGGUCGUUAAGGCUUAUUUAUUAAGGUAUAAGCAAUUGAAAUUUGAAUAUUAGACAAAGCAAAAGGCAGAUUAUCUAAUAAAUCUUUAUAAUAAAUAAACCUUAACUGUUACUUUUAUAUACCAAUGUUUGACCUCUAUUAUUCAGAAAAUCCUGCAAAAAUUAUUUCUUGAAAAUAUUAACCCUGUAUAUUUUUAAUUUUAAAAUUACCAAGUUAUAAUAUAUACUUAAAUAUACACAUAAAUAAAAAUAGUGUUAAGAAAAUAAAUGUACGUGUCUGAAUAGAAAUUCUCCUUACAAUUUCUUGUAAUUGUGAAAACAAAAAAUCUAUAAUUAGUCAAUUUGAUUUAUUUAUAACUAUAGUGUUAAAAAUGAUUAUUUCCAUUACGAUCGAGGAACGCAUUUUAUAUAAAAGACGUAUUUCGUAACGAUACUUUGUUAAAAAAUUUUGAUGAAAAAUAAUAAAUAAACUUAUUAAGAUGA